rnacentral:rRNA from 1 species
GACGAACGCUGGCGGCGUGCUUAACACAUGCAAGUCGAACGGAAAGGCCCUGCUUGCAGGGUACUCGAGUGGCGAACGGGUGAGUAACACGUGGGUGAUCUGCCCUUCACUUCGGGAUAAGCCUGGGAAACUGGGUCUAAUACCGGAUAGGCGCCAUUUUUAGUGUGAUGGUUGGAAAGUUUUUUCGGUGUAGGAUGAGCUCGCGGCCUAUCAGCUUGUUGGUGGGGUAAUGGCCUACCAAGGCGGCGACGGGUAGCCGGCCUGAGAGGGUGGACGGCCACAUUGGGACUGAGAUACGGCCCAGACGCCUACGGGAGGCAGCAGUGGGGAAUAUUGCACAAUGGGCGCAAGCCUGAUGCAGCGACGCCGCGUGGGGGAUGACGGCCUUCGGGUUGUAAACUCCUUUCGCGAGGGACGAAGCUUUUUGUGACGGUACCUAGAUAAGAAGCACCGGCUAACUACGUG